rnacentral:rRNA from 1 species
CCUACGGGUGUCAGCAGUGAGGAAUAUUGGUCAAUGGGCGAGAGCCUGAACCAGCCAAGUCGCGUGAAGGAUGACUGCCCUAUGGGUUGUAAACUUCUUUUGUCGGGGAGUAAGGUGGUCCACGUGUCGGGUUUUGGAGAGUACCUGUAGAAAAAGCAUCGGCUAACUCCGUGCCAGCAGCCGCGGUAAUACGGGGGAUGCGAGGUUUAUCCGGUUUUAUGGGGUUUAAGGGGUGCGUGGGCGGUGUUUAAGGCCAGCGGUAAAGUUUCGGGCCUAAACGCCGUAGUGCCGUUGAAACUGGUGGCCUUGAGUGGGGGAGAGGUAGGCGGAAUGCGUGGUGUAGCGGUGAAAUGCAUAGAUAUCACGAAGAACCCCGAUUGCGAAGGCAGCUCACCGGCGUCCAACUGACGCUGAGGCACGAAAGUGUGGGGAUCGAACAGGAUUAGAUACCCGAGUAGUC